CCGGUUUUGCAAGUUCUCAAACGGCAACGUCAGCAUGGAAGAGAGAUUUGUAUCGCGUGCCACCAGAGGUUCUCUUCGCCUCGCGUAAAAUAAAUACGAGCGGGAAUAAGGCGAAAGAUACAGAACCUCUGGCAACCAGGGUAAUGAUCAUAUUGCUUUAAAGAAACUUGCAGCUUUUAGCAGUUGUGUAAGGGCCUGUUUAUAUCGAAACUGGCUGGCCCGCUAAGUGAGACAGCCCGGUAAGUGAGAUCUCGCUGUCUAGUUAUUUUUAUAGUACAAAUUAUCAUUUCUAUGGACAAGCGGGCAGGCCCGGUUGCCAAGACCAGGAUGGAAAUUUCUCCACAUAAACAAUCAUAAGCAGGCUAGCCCGGUGCCGGGAUGAAAGUUCAAAGAUACUGCCGCAAGCUAUUUUUAACAACUGUCAAAAUAAUGUCAAAACAACAAAAU